AGGAGCUAUUCAGCGGAGAGCUGAAGCAAAAAUAAAAAGAGAUUUGUUCGAUUUCCCAUUUGCCGCCGUCCGCCCGUCGCCUGCUGCCAUCACGUCGUUUCAUGCAUCAAAAAUUUAAGUGCUCUUCUUACACCACGUUGCCACCACCACGCUGCCGCCACAUAUUGUCUGCCUCCGGUGUCGUUGUCGUCAUUUGCCACACCACGUUCCUUCCAGCCACCACGUUGUUCCCGCCAGCCACCACCAUCAUCACGCUAAAAUAAUUCCUGUGCCAUCACGUUGCCACCACCACGCUGCCGCCACAUCCGCCACAUUAUUGUCUUCCUCCGCUGUCGUCGUCAUUUGCCACACCACGUUCUAUCCAGCCACCACGUUGCUCCCGCCAGCCGCCACCAAUCUUGCUAAAAUAAUUCCUGACUGUAAAGAUGCGGCAUUACUUUGGGCUCUGCAUGGAUACUUUGUACCUUUCCAAAAAGUUAUAAAAAAAGACACAGAUGGUAGGAAACACGUUAUACGACAUACCAUCAAGGACUCGCAGUAUUCAUUCGUUUGGAUAGGCAACACAAUUCAAGCUUAAGAAGACCAUAUUGCCUUCCUCAACAAAAUGGGUGAGAAUACCCACCCACCAAAUAAAAAAUGUAUGUAUGUACAAAUGCUCUAGUUUUGGUAAAUGAGAUCAUAAAAUUUCAAUUCUUAUAUUAUUUUGAUUCAAAUUUCCCUUAAUUUCACUUUUUAUAAUUUGUUUCACUUUCUUAUCUGAAGAUAAAUCUACAAAAUAAUGUAAUAAAAUUUUUCC